rnacentral:rRNA from 1 species
AAUCAAUCACUCCGACAUCUAGACAAUCGAAUCCCACCGACGUUAGCGAGCUAUCGCAGGCGGGGCAACCGUCAGAAGCCAGGUGACGAGCCACGAGGGUAUCCGCUGCAAUCCUCAAUCCCGGUCACCACAUAGAUCGAGAUCUAUAACACUUUUCCGAAGAAAAGCCACAUUCUCUCAAAUUUUUUAUGAUAACCGAAAUUGAUGCUAACCUGCCGGGUGAGAAAGUGCACCUGAAAGUACGAGGGAAAACCCACACACCAUCAGGUUGAUUCCUCACUAGCAGGAC